GGGAAGGAAGGAAAGUUUUGUUUAGUGGGCGCAACAUCUGUGGUCAUAUGCCGGAGAGAGACAGAAGGGGAAGGAAGGAAAGUUUUGUUUAGUCGGCGCAACAUCUGUGGUCAUAUGCCGGAGAGAGACAGAAGGGGAAGGAAGGAAAGUUUGGUUUAGUCGGUGCAACAUCUGUGGUCAUAUGCCGGAGAGAGACAGAAGGGGAAGGAAGGAAGCUUUUGUUUAGUGGGCGCAACAUCUGUGGUCAUAUGCCGGAGAGAGACAGAAGGGGAAGGAAGGAAGCUUUUGUUUAGUGGGCGCAACAUCUGUGGUCAUAUGCCGGAGAGAGACAGAAGGGGAAGGAAUUAAAGGAGAAGGGAACAGUUGGAAAGUUUCGUUUAGUCGGCGCAACAUCUGUGGUCAUAUGCCGGAGAGAGACAGAAGGGGAAGGAACUACAGGAGAAGGGAACAGACCCCAGGAGACAGGACACAACCCCCGACUAAUACCUGCUACCCAUUCACUGCUGGGUGGACAGGGGCGUAGGGUAUCGAAAAAACCACCCAAAUUUUUCCACUCCGCCUGGGAAUCGAACUGGGGCUCUCUUGGUUGUGAGCCGAGUGUGCUAACCACUGCACCACGAAGCCCCCAUGCGAAUUCACUCAUAUGCGACUAACCUAAAUGAGCCAAGUAUUCGUUUUAUGUGAGAAAAAUCCACUAUCAUGCGACUAUCAGCGUUGGUGCGACUGGUAGGUGAGGUCUGGUGGAACUAGAGGGCAGCAGUGCAAAUGUUUCCCCGCACUUUCCUCGCCUAUAAUCAACCUUUCCCUCCCUCUGAGCCUGAAGUUAAUCCUCAGGUAGCUAAUGAUCAGCCUGAACCGUAGGCAUUGGGUGCGUCUCCCCGGAAGCAAUGGGCAGCUCUAUUUUACAUUUUAUCUCUACUAAUGUGCUUUAUUGUUGCUUUAAUGCUUUGUUAUUGUGAAACGGUGCCGGAGUAAAUAGUUAGAGGCUUCCAAAACGGGUCUCGAUCAUUACCCCCUGUAAUUAAGGGGAUGAUAGCCUCCAUAUACAGGUAACUCUCGAUUUAUGCGAGUUUGGUUUACGCGUUUUUUGAAAUACCACGGGGGUCCAAAAUCCAAAUAAAUGCUUAAUAUAUACGUUUUUUUAAAUACCGUGGGGUCCAAAAUCCAAAUAAAUGCUUAAUAUAUACGUUUUUUUAAAUACCGUGGGGUCCAAAAUCCAAAUAAAUGUUUAAUAUACGCGUUUUUUUAAAUACCGUGGGGUCCAAAAUCCAAAUAAAUGUUUAAUAUACGCGUUUUUUUAAAUACCGUGGGGUCCAAAAUCCAAAUAAAUGUUUAAUAUACGCGUUUUUUUAAAUACCGUGUGGUCCAAAAUCCAAAUAAAUGUUUAAUAUACAUGUUUUUUUAAAUAGCGUGUGGUCCAAAAUCCAAAUAAAUGUUUAAUAUACACGUUUUUUAAA